GGUUACUGCUAUCGAGAUUCGACUAAGCCAUGCGAGUUGAAUGUUCUUCGUGAACAUGGCGGACUGCUCAGUAACACGUGGACAACCUACCCUUCGGUCCGGCAUAAUCCUGGGAAACUGGGGAUAAUUCCGGAUAGGUCACAGAUGCUGGAAUGCUCUGUGGCUCAAAGCUCCGGCGCCGAAGGAUGGGUCUGCGGCCUAUCAGGGUUGUAGUGGGUGUAACGUACCUACUAGCCUACGACGGGUACGGGUUGUGAGAGCAAGAGCCCGGAGAUGGAUUCUGAGACACGAAUCCAGGCCCUACGGGGUGCAGCAGGCGCGAAAACUUUACAAUGCGGGAAACCGUGAUAAGGGAAUCUCGAGUGCCAGCAUAUAAUGUUGGCUGUCCAGAUGCCUAAAAAGCAUUUGUUAGCAAGGGCCGGGCAAGACCGGUGCCAGCCGCCGCGGUAACACCGGCGGCCCGAGUGGUAACCNGUUUUUAUUGGGUCUAAAGGGUCUGUAGCCGGCCAUGUUAGUCCCCUUGGGAAAUCUGGCAGCUCAACUGUCAGGCUGCUAGGGGAUACUGCUUGGCUUGGGACCGGGAGAGGUGAGAGGUACCUUGAGGGUNAGGGGUGAAAUCUUNUGAUCCUCGGGGGACCACCAGUGGCGAAGGCGUCUCACCAGAACGGGUCCGACGGUAAGGGACGAAAGCUAGGGGCACGAACCGGAUUAGAUACCCGGGUAGUCCUAGCCGUAAACGAUGCUCGCUAGGUGUCAGUCACGGUGCGACCGUGAUUGGUGCCGUAGGGAAGCCGUGAAGCGAGCCACCUGGGAAGUACGGCCGCAAGGCUGAAACUUAAAGGAAUUGGCGGGGGAGCACUACAACGGGUGGAGCCUGCGGUUU
rnacentral:rRNA from 1 species